GUAACAACGAAUGGCGAGAAGUCAGCAGAAGUCAUAGUACCAAGACGGUUGCAAACGUCAAGGGAAGGAC
rnacentral:ncRNA from 1 species